AUCGUAUACUUUUACGUUAGCGUGAGUAGCUGUGCAGAAAACCGAAAAAAUACAUCAUUUACUACGGGGCAGCGUGGACGCAGGACAUGGCGUACUGUUCCCUUGUUCCUUCAAAAGUAUGGAGCCACAAAAGCAGCAAAGCGUCGCGUGCUUUGUAACAGUGAGUUAGAAAAUGAAUCUACAAAAGGGCAUGAACAUUCUAAUAGUACCUACUUUAAUUAAUGAUAGAGAUUCUUUUGAAACAGAAACUACCGUACAUCUGUUAGAGUCAGACUCUGCAUGAGAGCUUGCAGAGUCACAACACAUUUUAAAGUUUAUAAUUAUUUAGCUCAUAAGUUCAUUACUAAGAAGUACCAAUUUGUUUUAUUAAAAAGAACGACAAUAAAAAAAUACGAAUAAG